UACAGAGGAUGCAAGCGUUAUCCGGAAUGAUUGGGCGUAAAGCGUCUGUAGGUGGCUUUUUUAAGUCCGCCGUCAAAUCCCCAGGGCUCAACUCUGGACAGGCGGUGGAAAACUACCAAGCUGGAGUACGGUAGGGGGCAGAGGGAAUUUCCGGUGGAGCGGUGAAAUGCGUAGAGAUCGGAAAGAACACCAACGGCGAAAGCACUCUGCUGGGCCGACACUGACACUGAGAGACGAAAGCUAGGGGAGCGAAUGGG
rnacentral:rRNA from 1 species